rnacentral:snRNA from 1 species
AUACUUACCUGACAGGGGAGAUACCAUGAUCACGAAGGUGGUUUUCCCAGGGCGAGGCUCCGGGUGUGCUGACCCCUGCGAUUUCCCCAAAUGUGGGAAACUCGACUGUUUAAUUUGUGGUAGUGGGGGACUGAGUUUGUGCUAUCCCCUG